AUUUUCAAGGAACAAAUGAGAGUUCAAGAAGUUGCAUGUGCAAUAUACAAGCGAUACGUAUCGGACUCAGACUUCGAUACGAGCCGGUACGUAACUAUUCCAAACCGAUACGUAUCAAAUUUUUCUUCUUGAAAAUCUUCAAUGUUAUAGAUGGUGGAAUCGUACGUCGUACGUGGAGGUAGAACGAACAGAAUUCCUACUGUGGGGGACCAUUUAGUAAUUUGUUACUGUGUACCGAUGGAAUGAACCGAAGUUAGGUAUACUGAUUUAUAAUCCAAGACCGUGAUUACAAGAGUUCGGCUUAUCACUAGUCGGUUGUCGUUCGUUUUCGUAGUUUUCGUGAUCGAAUAUUAUUUUUUUUACCGUGUGUGGUUUGUCCGGCCAAACAAUAAAUAGGUGCUUUUCAAACAUUCAUUUUGAAUAAUACAAAUAAUAUCUCAUCAAAUUUGUGACUGUGAAAUCAAAAAGUUAUCUUCUUGUUGGUUUCGUUCAUGUGCUUUGUACAGUACUCGGCGAGAUUGCGGUAGACAUAUUAUUUUAUGACUGGAUUAGCUACCACGGAAAAACUUACACCUCUAAACACAAUCAUCGGCCUGUAGAAGACUGGGAAUAGAGCUGGUGUCGUAUACAAUCCAAGACUGAGUGAUCGAGGCUACCCACAUCCAUUGAUCGAGUUCAUUUUUCUAAGUUCCAAGUGCAUACAAUACAGA